UUUCCUCUUGCAUUUUCAGUCUAUGAUUUGCAUAUCCUGUGACGAUGGCGAAAGUUCCUGUCCUCUUCCUUUCUCCUCUUUAGCCUGUGACAUUUUUGUAUAGUCAUGUUCAGCCAUGUCUUUUCUUUCUGUAGCAUUUGCCAUUUGCGUUUCAAAAUUUUAAUCAAUAAAUUGUUUAAUGUAAUAUUUGCCAUUUUUCUCGCCUGCAACUAUGUCCGCGCGCUGUGAAAGCAUAAUGGACUGGUGAUCUUGAGAAGAUGGCAAUAAUUUGCUAAAUGAGGAGUUCAAAGGAGUCAAGUACAUAAUGAUUAUUGCAAAAAGGAAGACUUCGUACGAGAACAAUCCAGUCCACUGCGAAAUGCAAAACCGGGCAACUGAUUCUAAUUUUUUUUAUCAUUCUACAUUUUGUUAUCUAUCUAUUUUGAUACUCGACAAACCCUUAAAAUAAUAUUUUUAUUUUGACAACUUUUAAAAAAGAGCUAAUAUUUAUUUUUCUACUUUCCAGAGUUGGAGUUUCAUUAACAACAAGUAAUACAUUGGCUAAUUAUUGAAAGUAUCUACAAAUUACUCAUUAGUGGAAUAUUAGGAAAGCUUUUAGAAAGGCAGAUAUGCCAGUUCAUUUUCAAAACUGGAUCACAAACAUAAAAAAAGAAAUUAUAUGAGAGAUUUAGGGACCUGUAAUGGGACCAAUUGUUACAAAACCAACAAAAGAGAAAGACAAUCUCUUGUGUCGGAGGCCAAGCCCCGACCGCUUUGGGUUGCUGCGCCAUCGGAGUAAGUAAUAGGACAAGAAAAUUAAUGCUUAAAGUUCUGUUUCAUAUCGGUAUCCAAAUUAAUUUAGUUUAUGCUACAUGGAAGUAAAAGAAAGGCAUGGGGAACUGUGUCUACUGUAAACACUAGUUUCGGAUUAAAGAAAUAGUAAGUGUAAGAGAAUUUAAUUUGAUUUAAUUCUAUCAACUAUUGAUGGUGGUCUGAUCAUUAACAUUUAUUGUGGUUGAUGAUUGCAGGUUAAUACAACAUAUAGUAAGAAUAACAACAUCUUCCAGUAUGCUGACCAAUGAAACUAUAUAAGAUUUAUUUGCAAGCAAAUGACAACAAUAAGAAAACAAGCUUUUUAGGGAGGAAGAAAUAAUGGAUAGAUAUGUAUUUUUUAUUAUACAUAUAUCCCUCGUUUCUUAAUUCCUAGAGCUGAAAUCCAUCCAAUCAACAGAUCUGAUACAAGACAAGAAAGAAGCAAGAAGUUCUGAAAAUGGAAACCAAAAGUGAUUCUUUUGGCACUUUUCCACAUCUUAUGCAAAUAUGUGAAUAUUUAAGACAAGCUAUUGCCUGCGACUCCUUCCAUGUUGUAUUUAAAAAAAACAUAAUUAUUAGCCUUUGUAUUCUUCCAGACCAUGUUCUAUAUGUAUGCCAAAUUUAAUC